rnacentral:rRNA from 1 species
GGUGAACGCUGGCGGCGUGCCUAAUACAUGCAAGUAGAACGCUGAAGGAAGGAGCUUGCUCUUUCCGGAUGAGUUGCGAACGGGUGAGUAACGCGUAGGUAACCUGCCUGGUAGCGGGGGAUAACUAUUGGAAACGAUAGCUAAUACCGCAUAACAGUAGAUGUUGCAUGAUAUCUACUUAAAAGGUGCAAUUGCACCACUACCAGCUGGACCUGCGUUGUAUUAGCUAGUUGGUGAGGUAACGGCUCACCAAGGCGACGAUACAUAGCCGACCUGAGAGGGUAAUCGGCCACACUGGGACUGAGACACGGCCCAGACUCCUACGGGAGGCAGCAGUAGGGAAUCUUCGGCAAUGGACGGAAGUCUGACCGAGCAACGCCGCGUGAGUGAAGAAGGUUUUCGGAUCGUAAAGCUCUGUUGUAAGAGAAGAACGAGUGUGAGAGUGGAAAGUUCACACUGUGACGGUAUCUUACCAGAAAGGGACGGCUAACUACGUG